rnacentral:rRNA from 1 species
UACGUAGGGGGCAAGCGUUGUCCGGAAUCAUUGGGCGUAAAGGGUGUGUAGGCGGUUGUUUAAGUUUGGGGUGAAAUCUCCCGGCUCAACUGGGAGGGUGCGCCGAAUACUGAAUGACUAGAGUGCGGGAGAGGAAAGUGGAAUUCCUGGUGUAGCGGUGAAAUGCGUAGAUAUCAGGAGGAACACCGGUGGUGUAGACGGCUUUCUGGACCGUAACUGACGCUGAGACACGAAAGCGUGGGUAGCAAACAGG